UACCAGCACCCCGAGUGGUCGGGACGAUUAUUGGGCCUAAAGCAUCCGUAGCCGGUUCUACAAGUCUUCCGUUAAAUCCACCUGCUUAACAGAUGGGCUGCGGAGGAUACUAUAGAGCUAGGAGGCGGGAGAGGCAAGCGGUACUUAGUGGGUAGGGGUAAAAUCCGUUGAUCCAUUGAAGACCACCAGUGGCGAAGGCGGCUUGCCAG
rnacentral:rRNA from 1 species